AUUGAACGCUGGCGGCAGGCCUAACACAUGCAAGUCGAACGAGUGGCGGACGGGUGAGUAAUGUCUGGGAAACUGCCUGAUGUAGGGGGAUAACUACUGGAAACGGUAGCUAAUACCGCAUACCCUCGGAUGUGCCCAGAUGGGAUUAGCUCGUUGGUGGGGUAAAGGCUCACCUAGGCGACGAUCCCUAGCUGGUCUGAGAGGAUGACCAGCCACACUGGAACUGAGACACGGUCCAGACUCCUACGGGAGGCAGCAGUGGGGAAUAUUGCACAAUGGGCGCAAGCCUGAUGCAGCCAUGCCGCGUGUGUGAAGAAGGCCUUCGGGUUGUAAAGUACUUUCAGCGGGGAGGCGUUACCCGCAGAGGAAGCACCGGCUAACUCCGUGCCAGCAGCCGCGGUAAUAC
rnacentral:rRNA from 1 species